rnacentral:rRNA from 1 species
AUGCCCCAGAUAAUGGUCAUGUGGUGCGUGUACACUCACUGUACGCUCCUGGCCGCACAGGUCGUCACCGCUCAUGUCCCUGCAAGUCGAUGUGCUCGUGUCCUCGGCUGGGUCCGUUGCUGCCUUCGCCAGCAGCACUGCUGCAUACCUGUCUUCCGCCCGCGCCGCUGCGCCUUGCAUCCGCGUAGGCCUCUGUGCUCAUCAGCAACCACGCGCCCAGCCCCGAGCUGCUGCCUGCGGCAGCGCACCACCGCUCGCGGCCGUCGUCGGCUCCCCGUGCUGGCGCUGCUCCUCGCCGCCGUGCUCGCUCCGGUGCCGGACCGCGUCCCAGCAGCUGCUGCCGCUGCCGCACCUGCCUGUUGCUUCACCCGUCUCCGCACCAGCGCCGACCCUGGUCCUCCGCCUCCCGCGCUGCUCUGCCGGGCUCCGGAGCCACUGGCCGGCUGGUCCCCUCCGCCUCGCGGUCGCCUCCGCCUGCGCCCAGCCCUCGCGUCGUCAUGCUGCUCCGCCCCGCGCGCGCGGCCCCGCAUCGGCCGUCUCCGCAUCGCCCGUGCGCCCGCUAGGCCUGGGCCGGCUGUGGCUCCAAUCCUCGCCUCGGCAUCGCGCAUGCACGCGCGACCGACUCCUCCAGCUUCCACCACACCGUCCGCCUCGUCCCCGUGGCGUCUGGCCGCAUGGGUUCCGCUCCGCCUCACGCGCGCCCGCAGUCGGUCGCUCCGCCUCGCGCGCACCCGCAGUCGGCCGCGCCGGCCUCGCCUGCAUCCGCGGCGCCUCGCCCGCGUUCGCGGCUCCGCGCGCCGCGCCUCCCGGCCGGCUUCCACCAAGUCCGCGCGCCCCACGCCGCGCCCGCCUCCCGCGCCGAGUUCGGCCCCCUACCGUGUCGCCCGGCUCCACCAGCUUCACCCUGGCCGCAUCCGGCGCCGCUGGCCGGCUCCCGGCCACCUCCGCUGCCGGCCUCCGCGCCCCCGGCUGCUGCUGUGCCGCCUCCGCCGUCUGGCCUGCACCGGCUGUUCGGCUGCCCCCAGACUCCGCGCUGGCUACCGCCGCAUCCCGUCCGCCAGAUGGGCGCGCCAGCCGGCCCUCCGCGUCACCGGCUCGCUGCUAGCCGGCCGCCUGCCGGCUCCGAUUCCCUCCACUACAGCCCCCUCCUGUGGCCGACUGCUCGUCGAAAGAGAAGUGGGCGUCGGCUGCUCGUUUGGAGCCGGCGAAGAAAAGUCAAGGUCCGGCUGCCCUCGUGGAGACAGAGAAAGAGAAGAGUCGGGCCGACUGCUAGCAAAAGAAACAAAAAGAGUGGGAAGCCGACUGCCCACAGCCGACUGGCAGAAAAAAAUAUAG